UAGGGAAUCUUCGGCAAUGGACGGAAGUCUGACCGAGCAACGCCGCGUGAGUGAAGAAGGUUUUCGGAUCGUAAAGCUCUGUUGUUAGAGAAGAACGUUGGUAGGAGCGGAAAAUCUACCAAGUGUUGGUAACUAACCAGAAAGGGACGGCUAACUACGUGCCAGCAGCCGCGGUAAUACGUAGGUCCCGAGCGUUGUCCGGAUUUAUUGGGAGUAAAGCGAGCGCAGGCGGUUCUUUAAGUCUGAAGGUAAAGGCAGUUGCUUAGCCAUUGUACGCUUUGGAAACUGGAGGAAUUGAGUGCAGAAGGGGAGAGUGGAAUUCCAUGUGUAGCGAUGAAAUGCGUAGAUAUAUGGAGGAACACCGGUGACGAAAGCGGCUCUCUAGUCUGUAACUGACGCUGAGGCUCGAAAGCGUGGGGAGCAAACAGG
rnacentral:rRNA from 1 species